AUGUUCGGGCAAGCGCUACAAGCUGUUGCAUUCCUCAGCCAGGAGAAAAUCACCGCCAAAGUGGAGGACUUGAAGAAAAUGUUUCAGUGGUCGGAUGCCGAGGUGGGAAUUGCUGUUUCUAAGGCUCCAGCGGUGCUGCUGAAGACUAAAGAAUCGCUGCAGCGCAGGUCCGAGUGCCUCAUCUCCAAGGUCGGGUUGGAACCGGCAUACAUUGCUUUUCGUCCAGCAAUGCUCAUGUACAGCUUGGAGGGCAGGAUCAGACCCCGGUACUACGUUGUAAAGUUUCUCAAGGAAAAUGGAUUGCUAGAUCACGACCGGGACUACUAUAGUACAGUCGUGAUCAGCGAGAAGGCCAUAAAGUCUUGCAGAACAUAG
rnacentral:rRNA from 1 species